rnacentral:rRNA from 1 species
UGGGGAAUAUUGCACAAUGGGCGAAAGCCUGAUGCAGCGACGCCGCGUGAGCGAAGAAGUAUUUCGGUAUGUAAAGCUCUAUCAGCAGGGAAGAAAAUGACGGUACCUGACUAAGAAGCCCCGGCUAACUACGUGCCAGCAGCCGCGGUAAUACGUAGGGGGCAAGCGUUAUCCGGAUUUACUGGGUGUAAAGGGAGCGUAGACGGCUGUGCAAGUCUGAAGUGAAAGCCCGGGGCUCAACCCCGGGACUGCUUUGGAAACUGUGCAGCUCGAGUACCGGAGGGGUAAGCGGAAUUCCUAGUGUAGCGGUGAAAUGCGUAGAUAUUAGGAGGAACACCAGUGGCGAAGGCGGCUUACUGGACGGUAACUGACGUUGAGGCUCGAAAGCGUGGGUAGCAAACAGG